AAAACUAAGGCCUCAAAUCCAAAGUCCCUGACUCCGUGGUAUAAUUCUCAAACACGUUGUCGCGCUGACCUAGUAGGUGUGCUUGUUACUCUUCUCUUCCUCCUCCUGCCCACUACCUGCUCUGUGCUGCUGCUGAUUAGACCUUGUGUGCAAUCUACAACUAAGCACGGCCUGGUGCGCGCCGCUCCGCCAGGUGAGCUGAAUUAGAGCAAUCAAGGGCUGGCGUGCCUAGUAGACCUUAAAAUGCAUGCAGCAGUCAUUUGACCCGGGUGCGACAUACUGAGAGGACAGCAAACGAAGCACAAUCCACUUUCCACUGUGAGGAAGACUUUGAACUAGACAGGCUAUCGGUUUUUCGCCUACCUAUCUACCUACCUAGCAUCUAGCAAAACAGCUAUCCAACUACCUUAUUGACUGCAUGAACCUGAAACUGGUCAAAAAUAAAUUUGAGUGAAAUUCAAA